GACGAACGCUGGCGGCGUGCUUAACACAUGCAAGUCGAACGGUAAGGCCCUUAGGGGUACACGAGUGGCGAACGGGUGAGUAACACGUGGAUGAUCUGCCCUGCACUUCGGGAUAAGCCUGGGAAACUGGGUCUAAUACCGGAUAGGACCACUGCCUGCAUGGGUGGUGGUGGAAAGCUUUUGCGGUGUGGGAUGGGCCCGCGGUUUAUCAGCUAGUUGGUGAGGUAAUGGCUCACCAAGGCGAUGACGGGUAGGGGAGCUGAGAGGCUGAACACGACCGAUGUAAAUGAGACACGGUCCAUACAGCUACGGGUGGCUGAAGCCGAGAAUAUUCGACAAUGGGCGAAAGCCUGAUCGGGCGACGCCGCGUGAUGGAUGAAGUCCUUCGGGAUGUGAAGAUCUUUUAUGGGGGAGGAAGUUUAUUGACGUUACCCCAAGAAUAAGAGGUUGCUAAACUCGUGCCAGCCGCCGCGGUAA
rnacentral:rRNA from 1 species